UNGUGCCUCUGCCCUCCUGCUGCUCA
rnacentral:piRNA from 1 species